GAAUUGUUUUCGUUGUUUAGUCAUAUGACCCAUCCCCCCUUUCUACCAAAUGGUUUCGACUAGUCACAUGAUUCCCUCAGUGGGGCCCUAUUACCAACUCAUCGAAAUUUAUUCCGCUCGGAAACUAGCUUUCACCGGAUUGCCAAUUUCGUAAAACCCACUUUGCCGUAACAUGAGCAUAUCGGAAUCGAAAUCGCCAUUCCGCACGAUUCCGGUGAAAUUGGAGUUUGUAGGCGGGACUAACUUUGACCAAUUAGAAAAUUACUAUAAUUCUAAUUUAUUAAUCUGGCAACAAUAUGUUUGUUUUCUCUUCUUCUAUGCGAGCUAAAAUCGCAUUAACUUAAAAAUGAAAGCUUAAACAUUCAUACAUUUUCAACAAUUUUGUGUGUUCUUAUUUUGUGUGUGUGUUUGUGCCAAGCUUGUGUUUAUUUGAAGUAUAGAGUGAAGUGCAUACAGCGUAGUAUUUUCAAAUGGCUUCACGCACAAAAAUUAAUGUUCCCCAACAAGCAAUGAUUGUUGAAUAUCUGGAAAAGAAUCCUGAUCUCAAUAAAGGUACCCUUACCGGCACUUUUACCUCUAAGCUAAAGCAUCAACAUUGGGAAGUGCUUUCAAAGAUGCUGAAUUCGGAAGGUGGAUGCAUCAAAUCUGUCGACAAAUGGAUGAAGUCUUGGUCUGAUUAUAAGCAAGAGAUAAAAGAAAAAGUAUUUAAAAAGAGUAAAGCAAGCUAAUGGCACCGGAGGAGUUCCCCCUCUAAAAGAAUUAACAGAGUUGGAGGAAAGAGUUUUAGCUUUGAUAUGUACAGAUGCGUACAAAGGACUGACUCACUAUAAAGGAGCACAGGCUUUCUCCAGUGCCUGAAUCUAUUGAAGUAAUUUUGCCUGGGUCUCCAGCGGACUGAUUCGUAGAAUUGAGCUUCAGUGUGGAUGAAGCCGAAUCAAUGUCUGAGCCAUGCCACAGCCAGCACUCAGUCAGUCAGUUGGAGACACCCGUGGAAUCCCCAACACCUGUUCCAGCAGCGAAGACCUCUUCCGCAUACGAGCAAGUGCCUACAAAGAGGUUAAAAUGUUUCGUUGCCUUGCGGUUUCCAGUGUUUUUAAUAUUUUAUGAAUAAUGGGCACAGUUAGCUUUUGGAAGCAUUGGAAUCUGGAGUAAAAUUAAGUAUUUUUUAAGACUUUUAGGGCAUUUUUUAUAUACAUCACAUCUAAUAGAUAGGCUUUUUAAUAUAUCACAACAGUUUUUUACAUCAUAAUUCUGAAAGUUAAUUCGCUCUGUGUGUUCGUAAACGGCUAUGAAAUAAAGUCUUAACAUUUAAAAGGAAUAAUAUCGAUUCAUAUUAAAUUAGGAAUAAAUGAGUUUUAAAAAUUCAAUAAUUUUUAAUAGUAUUGGGUUGACUGAAUGUAGGGUUUAGUGGCACAAGGUCCAAAUGAGGACAUGCUGCGCCAAACAGUACGGUAAAAUAGUUUAAAAGUCUAAGGGCAUUCAAAUUUAAUUUUAAUAUAUUUAUAACUGAUAAAACAGUACUAGCAGGUGAA